rnacentral:lncRNA from 1 species
UCAGUUACAAAGCUGGCUACCAGGUUUCCGCAGGCCAUAGGGUGUGAAAAUACAUCAGAACUUCUAGACAAGUUACAGAGUACCAUCUGUUAUAUUCUGAUGAUCUUCCCACCCUUGACCAGGACAUAUCAUCAUUCUGGGGAGAAAUGGCAGAAGUUGAGGACAUCUUCAAUGAUAAAAAAAAACGUUUUAACAUACUCUCAAAGCUCGCUAAAGCAUUUUUAGUUUUACCAAAUAGUAAUGCUGAUUGUGAAAGAGCCUUUCCUAUCAUAAAAAAGAUAUACAAAGAAUUUAGAUCUGAGCUGAACAAUGAUACAUUAUGUGCAAUUUUGUCAUGCAAAUAUAAUCAUACUGGCAGUUGCUAUGAGUAUCAGCCUAGUUGUGAUGUGAUGAAAGCAGCAAAACA